GCCCUUGUAGUGAAACGGAUAUCAUUCAAAGUUUCGAACUUUGAGUUCUGGGUUCGAAUCCUGGCAAGGGCA
rnacentral:tRNA from 1 species